rnacentral:rRNA from 1 species
AGAUACAUGAUUCCCUCAGUAACGGCGAGUGAACAGGGAAAAGCUCAAAGUUGGAACCUCCUGGGCCUAGCCUAGGCGGAUUGUAAACUAAAGUCUACGAGUAGUUCGGCUAGCCUGGUUAUCAAGUCCUCUGGAAAGGGGCGACAUAGAGGGUGAAACCCCCGUUUAUGGCCCAGAGAUUAGUCCUACGUUCGCUUGGGGACGAAGAGUCAGGUUGUUUGGGAAUGCAGCCUAAAGUGGGAGGUAAAUCUCUCCUAAAGCUAAAUAUUGACGAAAGUCCGAUAGCGAACAAGUACCGUGAGGGAAAGAUGAAAAGCACUUUGAAAAGAGGGUCAAAAAGUACGUGAAAUUGCUAAAAGGGAACCGUAUGAAAUCAGUCUGAUCUUUUGAUAAUCAACCUGGGCUUUGGCCUGGGUGCACUUGUCAUUGGAUUAGCCAGCAGCAGUUUGAUUCAAAGGAAAAAACUUGGAGGAAUGUGGCCUCGGCUUCGGUCGAGGUGUUUAUAGCCUUUAGGAAAAUACUUUGGGUUGGACUGAGGAAUGCAGCGGGCCGUUUAUUCGGCAAAGGGCUUGGGAUGCUUUGCAGGGUAUAUGCGAAAAUCUCUACUUCGGGUAGUGUUUGUAUAUUAUCAGGUAAACUCGUUCUAAUUCUCCUUUCUCUCGCUUAGGUUGUUGGCCUAAUGAUUUUAUAUGACCCGUCUUGAAACACGGACCAAGGAGUCCACCAUAGUUGCGAGUCUUUGGGCGUAGAAACCCUUGGGCGAAAGGAAACUGACCAAGAUAUGAAGGCUGUUAUGGCUGGCAAUAUCCUCCGGCGAAGACGUUUUAUACUGAAUUGACCGAGAGAAAGCACCUAUGAUGGGACCCGAAAGAUGGUGAACUAUACUUGAAUAGGGUAAAGCCAGAGGAAACUCUGGUGGAAGCUCGUAGCGAUUCUGACGUGCAAAUCGAUCGUCAAAUUUGAGUAUAGGGGCGAAAGACUAAUCGAACCAUCUAGUAGCUGGUUCUGCG